rnacentral:rRNA from 1 species
CUGGGAGUCAGCCUGCCCAGUGACAAGUUUAACGGCCGCGGUACCCUGACCGUGCGAAGGUAGCAUAAUCACUUGUUCUUUAAAUAGGGACUUGUAUCAACGGCACCACGAGGGCUAUACUGUCUCCUUUUCCUAAUCUAUGAAACUAAUCCCCCCGUGAAGAAGCGGGGAUAAAACUAUAAGACGAGAAGACCCCAUGGAGCUUUAAAUUCAAUAGACAAUCUUGUCUGUACUAACCUUCAUAACUCAAGAAUUAUGUCUAUUAAUUUUAGGUUGGGGUGACCGCGGAGUAUAACAAAACCUCCACAACGAACAAGACACUAACCUUUAUCAAAGAGCCACACCUCCAAGAAUCAAUAAAUUGACGUUAAAUGACCCGACAUUCGACUAAUGAAACAAGUUACCCUGGGGAUAACAGCGCAAUCUACUUCUAGAGCCCAUAUCAACAAGUAGGCUUACGACCUCGAUGUUGGAUCAGGAUAUCCGGGUGGUGCAGCCGCUACCAACGGUUCGUUUGUUCAACGAUUAAAAUCCUACGUGAUCUGAKUUUCAAMCSGGA